GAACUGAAGAGUUUGAUCAUGGCUCAGAUUGAACGCUGGCGGCAGGCCUAACACAUGCAAGUCGAGCGGAUGAAGGGAGCUUGCUCCCUGAUUUAGCGGCGGACGGGUGAGUAAUGCCUAGGAAUCUGCCUGGUAGUGGGGGAUAACGUUCCGAAAGGAACGCUAAUACCGCAUACGUCCUACGGGAGAAAGCAGGGGACCUUCGGGCCUUGCGCUAUCAGAUGAGCCUAGGUCGGAUUAGCUAGUUGGUGAGGUAAUGGCUCACCAAGGCGACGAUCCGUAACUGGUCUGAGAGGAUGAUCAGUCACACUGGAACUGAGACACGGUCCAGACUCCUACGGGAGGCAGCAGUG
rnacentral:rRNA from 2 species